rnacentral:hammerhead_ribozyme from 1 species
GCACUGCUGACGAGUCCAAACAAGACGAAACAGCUGUCUAGUGC